rnacentral:misc_RNA from 1 species
CCGAGUUUACAACUCCCAAACCCCUGUGAAACAUACCUUUAUGUUGCCUCGGCGGAUCAGCCCCGCGCCCCCGUAAAAACGGGACGGCCCGCCGCAGGAAACCCUAAACUCUGUUUUUAGUGGAACUUCUGAGUAUAAAAAACAAAUAAAUCA